rnacentral:rRNA from 1 species
UACGAAGGGGGCUAGCGUUGCUCGGAAUGACUGGGCGUAAAGGGCGCGUAGGCGGAUGGCUUUGUCGGGCGUGAAAUUCCAGGGCUUAACCUUGGGGCUGCGUUCGAGACGGGUUGUCUUGAGUGGGGAAGAGGGUCGUGGAAUUCCCAGUGUAGAGGUGAAAUUCGUAGAUAUCUGGAGGAACACCGGUGGCGAAGGCGGCAUCCUGGACCGAUAUUGACGCUGAGGCGCGAAAGCCAGGGGAGCAAACGGG